GUCUAUGGCUAUACCACCCUGAACAUGCUGGAUCUCAUCUGAUCUCAGAAGCUAAGCAGGGUGGGGCCUGGUUAGUACUUGGAUGGAAGACUGCCUGGGAAUACCAGGUGCUGUAGGCU
rnacentral:rRNA from 1 species